AGGACGAAAGCAAGAGACUCAGGUGGUAUUCAGCAGCAAGCAGCAAUGCAGUUUAUUGUGUCUAACAAUUCAGUUUUGCAAUAUAAGAGAGAGAGAGAGAGAGAGAGAGAAAGGAUGGGAUAUAGCUACCAACAGACGGGACACAUCCUCGUGGUCAUCCGAUGACAUUCUCGUGGUCAUCCGAUGAUGGAUGCAUCUUCAAUCCAUUGGGGAGAAAGAGAUCUCAGAAUCUCUUUAGGAAAGUCACUUUUUAUAGUCCUUUCCCAAAGCCAGUGGCCUCUGGCCAAAAGGUGGGGAGAUUGAUGGGCUGUUGUAUGUGGAGGUCAUUGCUCCAAGGAAAAGGAGCAGGAACAGGGCGCUGUAAGCAGUGCCCUGCUGAGAGCAGCACCAUGGCAGCACCAGCACAGCCACAGACAGUGCUGGGCAAGCACCAGGCACAGCUACAGACAGUGCUGGGCAAGCACCAGGCACAGCUACAGACAGUGCUGGGCAAGCACCAGGCACAGCUACAGACAGUGCUGGGCAAGCACCAGGCACAGCUACAGACAGUGCUGGGCAAGCACCAGGCACAGCUACAGACAGUGCUGGGCAAGCACCAGGCACAGCUACAGACAGUGCUGGGCAAGCACCAGGCACAGCUACAGACAGUGCUGGGCAAGCACCAGGCACAGCUACAGACAGUGCUGGGCAAGCACCAGGCACAGCUACAGACAGUGCUGGGCAAGCACCAGGCACAGCUACAGACAGUGCUGGGCAAGCACCAGGCACAGCUACAGACAGUGCUGGGCAAGCACCAGGCACAGCUACAGACAGUGCUGGGCAAGCACCAGGCACAGCUACAGACAGUGCUGGGCAAGCACCAGGCACAGCUACAGACAGUGCUGGGCAAGCACCAGGCACAGCUACAGACAGUGCUGGGCAAGCACCAGGCACAGCUACAGACAGUGCUGGGCAAGCACCAGGCACAGCUACAGACAGUGCUGGGCAAGCACCAGGCACAGCUACAGACAGUGCUGGGCAAGCACCAGGCACAGCUACAGACAGUGCUGGGCAAGCACCAGGCACAGCUACAGACAGUGCUGGGCAAGCACCAGGCACAGCUACAGACAGUGCUGGGCAAGCACCAGGCACAGCUACAGACAGUGCUGGGCAAGCACCAGGCACAGCUACAGACAGUGCUGGGCAAGCACCAGGCACAGCUACAGACAGUGCUGGGCAAGCACCAGGCACAGCUACAGACAGUGCUGGGCAAGCACCAGGCACAGCUACAGACAGUGCUGGGCAAGCACCAGGCACAGCUACAGACAGUGCUGGGCAAGCACCAGGCACAGCUACAGACAGUGCUGGGCAAGCACCAGGCACAGCUACAGACAGUGCUGGGCAAGCACCAGGCACAGCUACAGACAGUGCUGGGCAAGCACCAGGCACAGCUACAGACAGUGCUGGGCAAGCACCAGGCACAGCUACAGACAGUGCUGGGCAAGCACCAGGCACAGCUACAGACAGUGCUGGGCAAGCACCAGGCACAGCUACAGACAGUGCUGGGCAAGCACCAGGCACAGCUACAGACAGUGCUGGGCAAGCACCAGGCACAGCUACAGACAGUGCUGGGCAAGCACCAGGCACAGCUACAGACAGUGCUGGGCAAGCACCAGGCACAGCUACAGACAGUGCUGGGCAAGCACCAGGCACAGCUACAGACAGUGCUGGGCAAGCACCAGGCACAGCUACAGACAGUGCUGGGCAAGCACCAGGCACAGCUACAGACAGUGCUGGGCAAGCACCAGGCACAGCUACAGACAGUGCUGGGCAAGCACCAGGCACAGCUACAGACAGUGCUGGGCAAGCACCAGGCACAGCUACAGACAGUGCUGGGCAAGCACCAGGCACAGCUACAGACAGUGCUGGGCAAGCACCAGGCACAGCUACAGACAGUGCUGGGCAAGCACCAGGCACAGCUACAGACAGUGCUGGGCAAGCACCAGGCACAGCUACAGACAGUGCUGGGCAAGCACCAGGCACAGCUACAGACAGUGCUGGGCAAGCACCAGGCACAGCUACAGACAGUGCUGGGCAAGCACCAGGCACAGCUACAGACAGUGCUGGGCAAGCACCAGGCACAGCUACAGACAGUGCUGGGCAAGCACCAGGCACAGCUACAGACAGUGCUGGGCAAGCACCAGGCACAGCUACAGACAGUGCUGGGCAAGCACCAGGCACAGCUACAGACAGUGCUGGGCAAGCACCAGGCACAGCUACAGACAGUGCUGGGCAAGCACCAGGCACAGCUACAGACAGUGCUGGGCAAGCACCAGGCACAGCUACAGACAGUGCUGGGCAAGCACCAGGCACAGCUACAGACAGUGCUGGGCAAGCACCAGGCACAGCUACAGACAGUGCUGGGCAAGCACCAGGCACAGCUACAGACAGUGCUGGGCAAGCACCAGGCACAGCUACAGACAGUGCUGGGCAAGCACCAGGCACAGCUACAGACAGUGCUGGGCAAGCACCAGGCACAGCUACAGACAGUGCUGGGCAAGCACCAGGCACAGCUACAGACAGUGCUGGGCAAGCACCAGGCACAGCUACAGACAGUGCUGGGCAAGCACCAGGCACAGCUACAGACAGUGCUGGGCAAGCACCAGGCACAGCUACAGACAGUGCUGGGCAAGCACCAGGCACAGCUACAGACAGUGCUGGGCAAGCACCAGGCACAGCUACAGACAGUGCUGGGCAAGCACCAGGCACAGCUACAGACAGUGCUGGGCAAGCACCAGGCACAGCUACAGACAGUGCUGGGCAAGCACCAGGCACAGCUACAGACAGUGCUGGGCAAGCACCAGGCACAGCUACAGACAGUGCUGGGCAAGCACCAGGCACAGCUACAGACAGUGCUGGGCAAGCACCAGGCACAGCUACAGACAGUGCUGGGCAAGCACCAGGCACAGCUACAGACAGUGCUGGGCAAGCACCAGGCACAGCUACAGACAGUGCUGGGCAAGCACCAGGCACAGCUACAGACAGUGCUGGGCAAGCACCAGGCACAGCUACAGACAGUGCUGGGCAAGCACCAGGCACAGCUACAGACAGUGCUGGGCAAGCACCAGGCACAGCUACAGACAGUGCUGGGCAAGCACCAGGCACAGCUACAGACAGUGCUGGGCAAGCACCAGGCACAGCUACAGACAGUGCUGGGCAAGCACCAGGCACAGCUACAGACAGUGCUGGGCAAGCACCAGGCACAGCUACAGACAGUGCUGGGCAAGCACCAGGCACAGCUACAGACAGUGCUGGGCAAGCACCAGGCACAGCUACAGACAGUGCUGGGCAAGCACCAGGCACAGCUACAGACAGUGCUGGGCAAGCACCAGGCACAGCUACAGACAGUGCUGGGCAAGCACCAGGCACAGCUACAGACAGUGCUGGGCAAGCACCAGGCACAGCUACAGACAGUGCUGGGCAAGCACCAGGCACAGCUACAGACAGUGCUGGGCAAGCACCAGGCACAGCUACAGACAGUGCUGGGCAAGCACCCCUUCAGACCAACCCGUACCCCCUGCUCAGAGCCAGCCUGCCAGGCUGGGCUCUCUCCACACCUUUACCCAGCACAGCUUCAUGCAGAGCACACCCUGACCAGGAGCACUGCUCCACAGGAAACCUGCUCCCCUCCUUUCCCUGCCCAUCCCCAUCUCCU
rnacentral:lncRNA from 1 species